rnacentral:rRNA from 1 species
GACGAACGCUGGCGGCGUGCUUAACACAUGCAAGUCGAGCGGAGCGGCGAACGGGUGAGUAACGCGUGAGUAACUGCCCCCCUCUCUGUGGUCACAGUUGGCAACUGCUGCUAAUACCUGAUAGUGGGGGAUGACUCGCGUCCUAUCAGCUUGUUGGUGGGGUAGUGGCCUACCAAGGCGACGACGGGUAGCCGGCCUGAGAGGGCGACCGGGCACAAGGGGCUGAGAUAUGGCCCAAACGCCUACGGGAGGCAGCAGUGGGGAAUAUUGCACAAUGGGGGAAACCCUAAUGCAGAAACGCCGCGUGCGGGAUGAAGGCCUUCGGGUUGUAAACCGCUUUCAGCCAUGACGCGGUAGUGGCAGAAGAAGCACCGGCUAACUACGUGCCAGCAGCCGCGGUAAUAC